rnacentral:miRNA from 1 species
UCCUCUACCUUGUGCGGCAGACA